rnacentral:rRNA from 1 species
AUUGAACGCUAACGGCGUGCUUAACACAUGCAAGUCGAGCGGCAGCAUGACUGUAGCAAUACAGUUGAUGGCGAGCGGCGGACGGGUGAGUAAUGCAUAGGAAUCUGCCUUGUAGUGGGGGAUAACCCGGGGAAACUCGGGCUAAUACCGCAUAAUCUCUACGGAGCAAAGUGGGGGAGCUUCGGGCCCUACGCUAAAAGAUGAGCCUAUGUUGGAUUAGCUAGUUGGUAGGGUAAAGGCCUACCAAGGCAACGAUCCAUAGCUGGUCUGAGAGGAUGAGCAGCGACACUGGGACUGAGACACGGCCCAGACUCCUACGGGAGGCAGCAGUGGGGAAUAUUGGACAAUGGGCGAAAGCCUGAUCCAACAACGCCGUGUGUGUGAAGAAGGCCUUCGGGUUGUAAAGAACUUUUAGUGGGGAAGAAAAGUUCAUGGCUAAUAUCCAUGAAUGCUGACGUUACCCACAGAAAAAGCACUGGCUAACUCCGUGCCAGCCGCCGCCGUAA